GGUCAAGCGACCAAGGGCAUAAGGUGAAUGCCUUGGCACUGAGAGCCGAAGAAGGACGUGACAAGCUGCGAAAAGUCUCGGGGAGGAGCAAAUAUCCAUUGAUCCGGGAAUGUCCGAAUGGGGAAACCCACUUGAGCAAACCUCAAGUAUCUAGUUGUGAAUACAUAGCAACAAGAGGGAAAAGUUGGUGAACUGAAACAUCUAAGUAGCCAGACGAAAAGAAAGAAAAAAUUCGAUUUUCAAAGUAGCGGCGAGCGAAAUGGAAAGAGCCCAAAUUAAGUUAAGGAAGAGGUAAGAUAGUUGAAUGGUCUGGAAAGAUUCAACCGAAGAAAGUGAAAGUCUUGUAAACGAAAUCAAGCCGAAUCUGACUUAGAAAGAGUAGCAUGGGACACGAGAAAUCCUGUGUGAAAAUGGGGGGACCACCCCCUAAGGCUAAAUACUACUCAGUGACCGAUAGAGAAUAGUACCGUGAGGGAAAGGUGAAAAGAACCCCGGGAGGGGAGUGAAAUAGAACCUGAAACCUUAUGCCUACAAGCAGAUAGAGUCUUAAGAGAGAUGAUAUCGUACUUUUUGUAGAACGGGCCAGCGAGUUAUGGUGUGCGGCAAGGUUAAGUAAUGAAGUUACGGAGCCGUAGGGAAACCGAGUCUGAAUAGGGCGGAUAAGUCGUAUGCCAUAGACCCGAAACCAGGUGAUCUAUCCAUGAGCAGGUUGAAGUGAAAGUAAAAUUUCAUGGAGGACCGAACCGGGUAGCGUUUAAAAGCUAUCGGAUGACUUGUGGAUAGGGGUGAAAAGCCAAUCGAACUUGGAGAUAGCUGGUUCUCCUCGAAAUAGCUUUAGGGCUAGCCUCAAUUUAGUUUACAGGGGGUAGAGCACUGAAUACCGUAGGGGUGUUAGACAUUACCGAAAGUUAUCAAACUGCGAAUACCUGAUAAAUGAUGAUUGGGAGUCAGACUAUGUGGGAUAAGCUUCAUAGUCAAAAGGGAAAGAGCCCAGACCACCAGCUAAGGUCCCUAAAUAUAGAUUAAGUGGUAAAGGAUGUUUUACUACUUAGACAACCAGGAUGUUGGCUUAGAAGCAGCCAUACAUUUAAAGAGUGCGUAAUAGCUCACUGGUCAAGUGGUAGAGCGCCGAAAAUGAACGGGGCUAAAAUCUAAUACCGAAGCUGUGGACUAAUUAAAUUAGUGGUAGAGGAGCAUUGUGUAAGGGAAGAAGCUAAGCUGGAAGGCGAAGUGGACUUUACAGAAGAGAGAAUGCUGGCAUGAGUAGCGAAAAGGAGGGUGAGAAUCCCUCCCGUCGAAAGCCUAAGGAUUCCUGAGGAAGGCUCGUCCUCUCAGGGUAAGUCGGGACCUAAGCCCAGGCUGAAAAGCGUAAGCGAUGGACAACAGGUUGAGAUUCCUGUACUAUCUUUGAAUGUUUAAGAGAUGUACUGACGCAGGAGGAUAUGUUGAGCGUGUGAAUGGUAGAGCACGUCUAAGCAAGUAGAUAGAGGAUAGAGGCAAAUCCCUAUUCUUAAUAUCGAGAUGUGAUGGGGAGCGAAAAACAAGUAGUGAAGCAACAAAUUCCAAACUGCCAAGAAAAGGUACUAUUGAGUGAGAAGAUACCCGUACCAAAACCGACACAGGUAGGCAAGGAGAGAAUCCUAAGACGCGCGGAAGAACCUUUGUUAAGGAACUCGGCAAAAUGACCCCGUAACUUCGGGAGAAGGGGUACCAUUAGAUGUGAAGUGCAUACGUAUGGAGCAUAGAGUGGUCGCAGAGAAUAGGCCCAAGCAACUGUUUACCAAAAACACAAGUCUCUGCUAAAUCGAAAGAUGAAGUAUAGGGGCUGACACCUGCCCGGUGCUGGAAGGUUAAGGGGAAAUGUUAGAGCAAUCGAAGCAUAGAACUUAAGCCCCAGUAAACGGCGGCCGUAACUAUAACGGUCCUAAGGUAGCGAAAUUCCUUGUCGGGUAAGUUCCGACCCGCACGAAAGGUGUAAUGAUUUGGGCACUGUCUCAACAAAGGAUCCGGUGAAAUUGUAGUAGUCGUGAAGAUGCGACUUACCCACGAUAGGACGGAAAGACCCCGUGGAGCUUUACUGUAGGCUGGCAUUGGAAUUUGGUAUUAAAUGUACAGGAUAGGUGGGAGACUGUGAAGCGAGAGCGCCAGUUUUCGUGGAGUCAAUGUUGGGAUACCACUCUUUUGAUACUAAAUUUCUAACUUGAUACUCUGAAGCGAGUAUAAGGACACUGUCAGUUGGGCAGUUUGACUGGGGCGGUCGCCUCCUAAAGAGUAACGGAGGCGUUCAAAGGUUCCCUCAGAAUGGAAGGAAAUCAUUCAAAGAGUGCAAAGGCAAAAGGGAGCUUAACUGCGACACCAACAAGUGGAGCAGAUAGGAAACUAGGACUUAGUGAUCCGGUGGUACCGAGUGGAAGGGCCAUCGCUCAACGGAUAAAAGCUACCCCGGGGAUAACAGGCUUAUCUCCCCCAAGAGUUCACAUCGACGGGGAGGUUUGGCACCUCGAUGUCGGCUCGUCUCAUCCUGGGGCUGGAGUAGGUCCCAAGGGUUGGGCUGUUCGCCCAUUAAAGAGGCACGCGAGCUGGGUUCAGAACGUCGUGAGACAGUUCGGUCCCUAUCCAUCGUGGGCGAAGGAAAUUUGAGAGGAGCUGUCCUUAGUACGAGAGGACCGGGAUGGACAGACCGCUGGUGUAUCAGUUAUCAUGCCAAUGGUAAUGCUGAAUAGCUAAGUCUGGAAGGGAUAAGUGCUGAAGGCAUCUAAGCACGAAGCCCCCCUCAAGAUGAGAUUUCCUGUUGCAGAAAUGCAAGAGAGAUUCGAUAAAGAAAAUGUCGUAGAUAGGUCAGAGGUGUAAAGGUGGCAUAAAUCACUCAAAAGAGUGAUUUUUUUGUUUAAAGCUCCGAGCCU
rnacentral:rRNA from 1 species